rnacentral:pre_miRNA from 1 species
CAUCUACUCCCUCCGUUCCGAAUUACUUGUCGCGGGUAUGGAUGUAUCUAGAUGUAUUUUAGUUCUAGAUACAUCCAUUUCUGCGACAAGUAAUUCGGAACGGAGGGAGUAUCAG